rnacentral:tRNA from 1 species
GCCCUGGUAGUGUAGUCCGGUCGAAAAAGGGCAUACAAGCUCUUUUAAGGCUUCGACUCGGGUUCAAAUCCCGGCCAGGGCG